rnacentral:misc_RNA from 1 species
GUCAGCAUCCAUUAAUGAAACAAGAAUACAAAGGUAGUGGUGGUGCUGUCGAAUGUUUUUUUCCCAAGCCUUGGAUCCCCCAAAAUACUUAAAAAGAAACCCUCUUUUUUCCCUGGAAACAAAAAGAAAGCAUCCUAAUUCUCUCUUGUCCAAAACUCAACUAGGACGGUGGCAUCUACUGAAGAAGAAUAGCUCUGAUCUAUGCGGUCAAUUUCCUGUUCCUUGAGUUCCUCACCAUAUUCAAGUGUCUAACUGCAGAUACUGGAGAGCGGCCUUGUUUACUAAUGUUGCAACCUGGUGGCCAAAAACAGCAUAGAAAUCAAGACAAAAGGAAAUCAUUGAUAGAGAAAAUUACUACUUUUAUCUCAUUACCCUUGCUCUUAUUUGACCCCUCUUAGGAGGCAGCUGUGCAUGCAGGGCAUGUUGAGCAGGAGUAGGAUUCUGUGGAUGAAU